UCCAACUCAUCUCAAAUGUAUUCACUGUAUACCUUCUGGCUUGCAGUGGAGGGUUUAUGACUGAGCUCAGACUUCUGGUGGGCUCACAGUAGAUGCUCAGACCGUGUACAUGAAGCUCUGCCACCAACCUGCCCUGUGACCUCAGCAUGUUGACGUAUGAUAUGAAGCCUCCAUCUGUACUCUUGCCCCAGGCCUGCUGGCAGUAGGAGUGGGCUUGGGUCAGUCCCGCCCACCAGGCCAGAAGUUCCACCAGGGAGGCAGAGUGCGGUACCCCUGCCCCAGAGCACAGUGCCUGGCACAGAAGAGCAGAUAAUAAAUAUUGGCUGUGAGAAACGA